rnacentral:lncRNA from 1 species
AUAAGGAAUGGAGUAGAGGAGGAGGAUAAGGAGGAGAAGAAGAGGGAGAGGAGAAAGAUGAUAAGGAGAAAGGGGAGGAGGAGAGAGGGGCUAUCGAUAAGGAAUGGAGUAGAGGAGGAGGAUAAGGAGGAGAAGAAGAGGGAGAGGAGAAAGAUGGGGAUGGCAAGAAGGGAUUGAGGUAGAGGAGGCCGCCAUGAAGGGGGAUGGUUUAUAAGUGGUUUGGAGAAGAAAAAUAAUAAGGAAAAGUGAACGGGAAGAAAGGAGAGAAAAUGGAGGAAUGGGUGGAAAAAGGAGCAGAGGAGAAAAAAGAGGAAGGGAAGAAGGAGAAAUGGGUGAGAAGAAGAAA